GGAGGAACGUCUUAAGCCAGGAGCUGAUUAGUGGAUGAAGGCAGCUGAUCUGUUUUGAAGCCUCCGUGUCUAGAGAGGCCAACGCUUUCAUUACCCAGCAGGAAUGGGGUGGGGCGCAUUUGUAGUUGGGAAUCCUGAGCCCGGGCUGUUGCUUGGAGGACUCGGGAGCAGCAGUAGAUUUCGGCGUUACCAGGAGAGGUCUCGAGCACCAGAUCCCUGUUCCGUCACUACGCAGAAGUAGGUUCUAGCCGUUCCCAGCGCCUUCAUUUCCAGAAGGCGAUUUUACCCAGAGAAAGGAGAGGGAAGAUUUGCUCUACCUUUGGCUCCUUAUCAAAUAGCUAAAUCACGUGGGAAGCUGGUAAACAAAAACACAAAAAUGAAUGAAACAAACAACUAAACAGCUUGCCGGGCCCCUCCAAGGCCCACUGAACCGAAAUUAUGUGCAUAUGUUUAUAGUAUUAAAAAACUUCUGGGAGGAUUCAAAAGUAAUUACAGUGGUUACUUCUGAGGACAGGGAUUGGAUGGGGUGGAAGAAAUAUUUUUACUUUCCAGUUUAUCCUUUCUAUAUUGCUUGAACUUUUAAAGACCAUGAACAUGCAUUACUUUCCCAAAUUAAAAACACUAGUUUUGAUUUUUUUAAAAUUGGAGAGGGUUUCAUGUGGGAGAGAGACUCAACUUCCAAGUAGUUCUAGAAGGAACGACUCUGACCAGUUUUGAGACAGUUUUAGGUCAAAAUAAGAAAAAUAAGGAAAAGCUUUGCUAGGUGUUAUGCUGAGGCUGGGAUAUGGAAGACAGUGUUGCUUCAGGAGGAAGUGAACUAGAUGCUUCCUCCAGCUAUGAGAUCAUGUUCAGUAUCUGAACACUUUUGCUGAAGGUCUCUGGAAAGCUCCCUGUGUUAAUUCUGGAUGAGACUAUGUCCGGGCCAGCCACUUCCUGAGCCUCCUUCCAUGUGCAUAGGCCUGCUGCAUGCUGGAGACCCGCGGCACAGCUGCCAAGUGCCCCUGUGUGGCUCUGUGAUCUUGGGACAGUCACUUCCUCUCUCUGGUUGUCAGUCUUCUCAUCCGUAAGGUGGUGCUUUAUCAACCCUGAGUAAUCAUUUCUUCAUCUGCAAGAUGGAAUAAAAAGGCCUACCUCAUUGGGCUCGUGUGGGUGAGGAGAACUGAAGAAUCUGAGAGCGCGGCACGAGCCAGAGGCUGUGGAAAACACUGCCGUCCCACACUCCACCUUGGAGAGACCCAGAAAAGAACAAGCUUCAUUUGAAAAAAAGGAAAACAGCUCAGGCAAUGGGGGUGGCUUAAAGGCACUCUACAGUGUGCGGAUGCCUUCCGCUUCUUCCAUCUGCCCUGUCUCUCCAAGAACCCCUAUGGCCCCGGGGUCAGAGCAGAGCUGAGUGCAGAAAUGAAAAUCUAUGGCCAUGUGUUACAAAACGAUGAAGAAUUUCAAGAUGGUGGCAGCGGUAAAAUCCUCCUCCAGGAAAAAUCUGUCCUUGGGCCAAUGUGUAAACACUUGCUGAGGAACUUGGAGUAACUUGCAGCGUCUUGCAGUAUUGUGAAACCAACAGCUUCUUCACAAUUCUUCUGAAUUUCUCGGGAAAUUUGAAGUGGAGUACCUGUACCAAUGUGAAAUGACACAAAUUUCAGUGAAGCUCAACAACGAAAAGCAAAAAGAACCAAAGAGGAAGCAACUGAAACAACAUCUAGAUGUAUUUAAAAAUAUACAAUGCCUCCAAAAUCAGGUGUCAUUAAUGAAAAUUCUGAAGAAAUGCCACCAGACAUAGCCAAUGCACCUAUACUGUUGUUAUUCAUUUCCUGCUUUUCACAGAAAACAAUUUUGUUGCAUGGAAGAUUGCGAACUUCAAAGGGCAGAGGGGAAACUCUCCCUUGGCCCCUACCCCUCCAAGGCCCCACUUUUUCGUCAACACUCCUUGGACGCAGCUGAGGUAUGAACAUGAUGUGGUCCUGAAUGAGGCUGAGUCUUUGGGCACAGAAGACCCGGGUUAAUAAAAACAGGAAGGUAAGAAAAGAAAAGAAAAAUCAAGACACAUCAUAGGACUAAAUUCCUAUUAUUUAUCCACUCAGGAUUGACCACCCCUUUGGGCCAGACAGUCGUACCCCAUGUACCAGGUGGGCACAUGAAGACACAAGAAGUGCUGUGAUGGUUCAUUUUGCAUGUCACCUUGUGUGGAGUAUGCCAACUCAUUGUUUGGUCAAACACUAGUCUGGUCAUGGUGGUAAAGGUAUUUUUUUAGAUGAAAUUAACGCUUAAAUCAGUAAAGCAGGUUACCCACCAUACUACAGGUGGGCCUUGUCCAAUCAGUUGAAGGCAUUAAGAGCAAAGAUUGAGGUUUCCUAAAGAAGAUGGAAUUCUCCUUGAGACUACAACAUAGAAACCCUAUCUGAGUUUCCAGCCUGCUGCCCUGUGGAAUUCGAACUCAGGACUCCAGUCUAUGGCAUUAACCCUCACUUAACUUUUCAGCCUGCCAGCCUGCCCUGUGGAUUUCGGACUUGCCAGCCACACAAUUCCUUAAAAUAAAUCUCUCUGUCUCUGUC